GAACGAGAAAGUGGAGCAAUCCAUGAGUAAAGUGGCGACCGGNGUGAGUAACACGUGACUAACCUACCCUAGAGUGGGGGAUAACCUCGGGAAACCGGGGCUAAUACCGCAUAACAUCACGAGGGGAAGAUCCUUGUGAUCAAAGGAGCAAUUCACUCAAGGAGGGGGUCGCGGCUGAUUAGCCAGUUGGCGGGGUAACGGCCCACCAAAGCAAAGAUCAGUAGCCGGCCUGAGAGGGCGCACGGCCACACUGGAACUGAAACACGGUCCAGACUCCUACGGGAGGCAGCAGUGGGGAAUUUUGCGCAAUGGGGGAAACCCUGACGCAGCAACGCCGCGUGGAGGAUGAAGUCCCUUGGGAUGUAAACUCCUUUCGAUCGGGACGAUUAUGACGGUACCGGAAGAAGAAGCACCGGCUAACUCUGUG
rnacentral:rRNA from 1 species